ensembl:lncRNA
AUGUAUCAUGCCAAGGUGACAGGGAUGUUGCUGUCGGAGGGGCCACUGAAGCAGACGCUGACGCUGACGGAGGAACCACUGACGCCGACGGAGGAACCACUGUUUCAGAUGGGACAGGACCAGACAAGGACGAAGAUGGACAUCGUUGAGUCCACUGCCACCAGCCCCCCCACCUCUCCCUCAUGCUCCUCCACCCCAGGCACCUCUUCCACCCCCCCAGACACCCCUUCCAAGAGGAGAGUGCCAGGGAGCAGGCGAGGCAUGAGGAGAGCGAGGCAAAGUUGGCGGAAUGGUGGAGAAGAUGUGAUUCUCCACCAUUCUCUCAAAAGAUGAGAAAGGGUGUGUGUAUUUUUAGGUGUGCGUUUGUGUGUAUUUUUAGAUGUGUGGUUCAGUGUUUCUUAUUUAAAUAAAGUGUUUCUUCUAAAAUGUUCUUGUUCUUAACCGAUUAUUAUCUAAGGGUGCACUCACACUAGGCCUUCUGGCCGUGGCCGUGGCUGUUUUAGCACCUAACCGUGCUCAAAUCUGCCAGUGUGAGUGUGGCCAGUCUCGCCAGGCCGGGCCAAUUACAAAAUAUAAAUACCAUUUCAGGUUAAACAUCUUUACAAUGGGUCUUGCUCGUUGCCCGAGACAAUGGCAGCCAGUCUGUCUCUUGUAAUAUUACCAGGGGUCUGGUUAUCUGCUAGGGGGCACGGGGAGGCCAUGAUGACGUCACAGGGUAGGGUUGUCCCAUUUGGUAGGGGAUCGGUUAGGGUAGCAAUGAGGCGUAGCAAUGAGCAUGAGCAAUGAGGGUUAGGGUUGAGAUGUAGGGUUGAGACAGUGAGCAAAGAAACGGGAUUGGGCCUAAAUCCCCCUCGCUGCCCCACAGAGACUAACAGGCCGGGGCUCCCUCCCCCACUGUUAGCUGAUGAAACCUCUUCCCAGUCCUCACGCCCCUCCCUGCCACUCCCUGUCUCUGUCCCCACUUUUAGUUGAUAUGCGUGUUCACCUUUAUCCUGUUCCCUUCCUCCUCCCUGCCAGUCAUCUGCCUCUAACCCCAGAUGUAGGGCCCUAUGAAAUCCGCGAUAACGAAAACGCGGACGGAAUCACGGAAUUGGACAAUAAAAACGGAAUCAACUGAUAAUUUUUUUUUUUUUUUUUUUUUAAUUAUUUUAUUAAGCAGGAAAGUAUUAAAAGUAACAAAGUUACAAUUUAAAACGGGCCUGUCUUAGUAAAAUAACUGAUUUCCAGCAGGUUCCUGUUCUUCAGCACAUAUAACAUGCAACAGGGACAAGGCACAUCAGACGUCACAUUUACAAUAUGCAGCGGAAUGCAGCGGAAUUCGCCAUUAUUUUGGUGAAAUUCAGUUUCGAGGGAAAAGGGAAACAACACAGGUGACAUUAACGUCACUGAAUGUUUAGCAGUCACUCGCACAACAAUGUUAAAAAAAAAUCCCCGGUCCACCACGCAAACAAUAGGUCCCGCUCCUAACAAGAAGCCGAAGAAGAAGUUGAAGCGCCCUUAAUUCAGUUCUAACCCCAAAUUCAGAGCCGAACAAUAUCCAAAACACUUCUAUCACAAAUUACUAGAAAUAAAAUGAUAUUGUUUAAACUUGUAAUAUAAUGCACAGUUGUAUUCGCCACCAAUACGGUCCGUCGGGAUCGAUUUUGCUGUACCUUGAAAGUUUGGGAAAUUUAACAAACCGUAAUCCUAAAUUAUCCACAAUUUCGUCAAAAUACCACGUACUACUGCCCAAAAUUAUUCUAUUUUUUUGGUUCAGAUUAUGUUAACAAUGGUUGAGUUAUGGCCGAUUUAUGUGAAAAUACCAUUAUGCCUUUAGUAAACCAAACCGAGUCCGCUACAGAGAGAACUUAAAGGGAUAUAUUACAUAAUCACCAAAAUAUUUAUUUUCCACAAUAUUAUCAGGGGAGAGCGCGAACGCAGUCCCCCACUACCACAAAUUAUGCAGUCGAGAUUCCCACAUUUGAGGAAUUCGCACGGGUCAGCACAGCCGAAGUGCAAUGGCUGAGCCUCGCCCUGGGUGAACCACCUUCUUGAUCAUGGUGUCUCCCCUGCCAGGUAAGUAUGAGUUGUACACGGCGCUCGUGCUGUAGUGAUUCUCCCACAUAAGAGUCUACGUCAUGGUGCUAACAUUUUAUUGACAACAUUACAAAAACGCCUUGACUAACAUAUUACAAUCGAUCUAAUGGUAUCCGGC